rnacentral:rRNA from 1 species
GACGAACGCUGGCGGCGUGCUUAACACAUGCAAGUCGAACGGAAAGGCCCUGCUUUUGUGGGGUGCUCGAGUGGCGAACGGGUGAGUAACACGUGAGUAACCUGCCCUUGACUUUGGGAUAACUUCAGGAAAAAGGGGCUAAUAUCGGAUAGGAUCUCUUGAUGCAUGGUGGGGGUUGGAAAGUUUCGGCGGUUGGGGCUGGACUGGCGGCUUAUCGGCUUGUUGGUGGAGUAGUGGCUUACCAAGGCUUUGACGGGUAGCCGGCCUGAGAGCGUGACCAGCGACAAUAGGACUGCGAGAGGCACCAGAAUCCAACGUGAGGCAGCGGGGGGAAGUAUGGCGCAGUGGGCGGGAGCCAGUGACAGCAGCGCCGCGUGCGUAAAAACGGGCUACGGGUUAUGAACCGCUUUGGACGUAGACGUGGCGUGAGUGACGGUAAUGGGUAAAAAAGCACCGGCUAACUACGUG